CGGGUAGGUCUAACUCUCCCCGCUACGGGUAGGUCUAACUCUCCCCGCUACGGGUAGGUCUAACUCUCCCCGCUACGGGUAGGUCUAACUCUCCCCGCUACGGGUAGGUCUAACUCUCCCCGCUACGGGUAGGUCUAACUCUCCCCGCUACGGGUAGGUCUAACUCUCCCCGCUACGGGUAGGUCUAACUCUCCCCGCUACGGGUAGGUCUAACUCUCCCCGCUACGGGUAGGUCUAACUCUCCCCGCUACGGGUAGGUCUAACUCUCCCCGCUACGGGUAGGUCUAACUCUCCCCGCUACGGGUAGGUCUAACUCUCCCCGCUCCGGGUAGGUCUAACUCUCCCCGCUACGGGUAGGUCUAACUCUCCCCGCUACGGGUAGGUCUAACUCUCCCCGCUACGGGUAGGUCUAACUCUCCCCGCUACGGGUAGGUCUAACUCUCCCCGCUACGGGUAGGUCUAACUCUCCCCGCUACGGGUAGGUCUAACUCUCCCCGCUACGGGUAGGUCUAACUCUCCCCGCUACGGGUAGGUCUAACUCUCCCCGCUACGGGUAGGUCUAACUCUCCCCGCUACGGGUAGGUCUAACUCUCCCCGCUACGGGUAGGUCUAACUCUCCCCGCUACGGGUAGGUCUAACUCUCCCCGCUACGGGUAGGUCUAACUCUCCCCGCUACGGGUAGGUCUAACUCUCCCCGCUACGGGUAGGUCUAACUCUCCCCGCUACGGGUAGGUCUAACUCUCCCCGCUACGGGUAGGUCUAACUCUCCCCGCUACGGGUAGGUCUAACUCUCCCCGCUACGGGUAGGUCUAACUCUCCCCGCUACGGGUAGGAC